rnacentral:rRNA from 1 species
CUGAGUACGACGGAGCACGUGAAAUUCCGUCGGAAUCUGGGAGGACCAUCUCCUAAGGCUAAAUACUCUCUAGUGACCGAUAGUGAACCAGUACCGUGAGGGAAAGGUGAAAAGCACCCCGGAAGGGGAGUGAAAUAGAACCUGAAACCGUGUGCUUACAAGUAGUCAGAGCCCGUUAAUGGGUGAUGGCGUGCCUUUUGUAGAAUGAACCGGCGAGUUACGAUUUGAUGCAAGGUUAAGCAGUAAAUGUGGAGCCGUAGCGAAAGCGAGUCUGAAUAGGGCGUUUAGUAUUUGGUCGUAGACCCGAAACCAGGUGAUCUACCCUUGGUCAGGUUGAAGUUCAGGUAACACUGAAUGGAGGACCGAACCGACUUACGUUGAAAAGUGAGCGGAUGAACUGAGGGUAGCGGAGAAAUUCCAAUCGAACCUGGAGAUAGCUGGUUCUCUCCGAAAUAGCUUUAGGGCUAGCCUCAAGUGAUGAUUAUUGGAGGUAGAGCACUGUUUGGACGAGGGGCCCCUCUCGGGUUACCGAAUUCAGACAAACUCCGAAUGCCAAUUAAUUUAACUUGGGAGUCAGAACAUGGGUGAUAAGGUCCGUGUUCGAAAGGGAAACAGCCCAGACCACCAGCUAAGGUCCCAAAAUAUAUGUUAAGUGGAAAAGGAUGUGGCGUUGCCCAGACAACUAGGAUGUUGGCUUAGAAGCAGCCAUCAUUUAAAGAGUGCGUAAUAGCUCACUAGUCGAGUGACACUGCGCCGAAAAUGUACCGGGGCUAAACAUAUUACCGAAGCUGUGGAUUGUCCUUUGGACAAUGGUAGGAGAGCGUUCUAAGGGCGUUGAAGCAUGAUCGUAAGGACAUGUGGAGCGCUUAGAAGUGAGAAUGCCGGUGUGAGUAGCGAAAGACGGGUGAGAAUCCCGUCCACCGAUUGACUAAGGUUUCCAG